GAUGAACGCUGGCGGUAUGCCUAACACAUGCAAGUCGUACGAGAGUUUUUAACUCUAGUGGCGGACGGGUGAGUAACACGUGAGAAUUUGCCUUUAGGAGGGGGACAACAAUCGGAAACGAAUGCUAAUACCCCAUAUGCUUUUGAGUGAAAUGGAUUUUAUCCGCCUAGAGAGAAGCUCGCGGCUGAUUAGCUUGUUGGUAAGGUAAGAGCUUACCAAGGCGACGAUCAGUAUCUGGUUUGAGAGGACGAUCAGACACACUGGAACUGAGACACGGUCCAGACUCCUACGGGAGGCAGCAGUGGGGAAUUUUCCGCAAUGGGCGAAAGCCUGACGGAGCAAUACCGCGUGAGGGAAGAAUGCCUAUGGGUUGUAAACCUCUUUUCAGGGAGGAAUAAAAUGACGUGUACCUGAAGAAUAAGCAUCGGCUAACUCCGUG
rnacentral:rRNA from 1 species